rnacentral:rRNA from 1 species
UACGUAGGGAGCAAGCGUUGUCCGGAAUCAUUGGGCGUAAAGCGCGCGUAGGUGGCCUCAUAAGUCCGCUGUGAAAGUCAAAGGCUCAACCUUUGAAAGCCGGUGGAUACUGUGAGGCUAGAGUACGGAAGAGGCGAGUGGAAUUCCUGGUGUAGCGGUGAAAUGCUUAGAUAUGACAUAGAACACCAAUUGCGAAGGCAGCUUACUACGGAUCGAUUGACACUGAGGCACGAAAGCGUGGGGAUCAAACAGG